rnacentral:rRNA from 1 species
AGAGUUUGAUCCUGGCUCAGAUUGAACGCUGGCGGCGUGCCUAACACAUGCAAGUCGAGCGGUAACAGGUGUAGCAAUACAUGCUGACGAGCGGCAAACGGGUGAGUAAUGCUUUGGAAUCUUCCCAGUAGUGGGGAAUAACCAGUCGAAAGAUUGGCUAAUACCGCAUACGUCUGUAAAGGGAAAGCGGGGGCUCGUAAGACCUCGCGCUAUUGGAUGAGCCAAAGUCGGAUUAGCUAGUUGGUGGGGUAAUGGCCUACCAAGGCGACAAUCCGUAGCUGGUCUGAGAGGACGACCAGCCACACCGGAACUGAGACACGGUCCGGACUCCUACGGGAGGCAGCAGUGGGGAAUAUUGGACAAUGGGGGAAACCCUGAUCCAGCGACGCCGCGUGUGUGAAGAAGGCCUGCGGGUUGUAAAGCACUUUUAGUGGGGACAAAAAGCUACGGACUAAUACUCUGUGGUCUUGAUUUAACCCAAAGAAAAAGCACCGGCUAACUCUGUGCCAGCAGCCGCGGUAAUACAGAGGGUGCGAGCGUUAAUCGGAAUUACUGGGCGUAAAGCGCGCGUAGACGGUUUUGUAAGUCAGAUGUGAAAUCCCUGGGCUCAACCUGGGAACUGCAUUUGAGACUGCAUGGCUAGAGUAUGGAAGAGGGAAGUGGAAUUUCCGGUGUAGCGGUGAAAUGCGUAGAUAUCGGAAGGAACACCAGUGGCGAAAGCGACUUCCUGGUCCAAUACUGACGUUCAUGUGCGAAAGCGUGGGGAGCAAACAGGAUUAGAUACCCUAGUAGUCC